AACAACCUUCUGCACUUCUUGAUGGCUGCAGAAGGUCAUGCAAUCAUCUAACUCAGCUGUUCUGGAACAGAGGUACAUUUAAGCAUGUCCCUAAGCACAUCAUAAUAAAAAGUUAAAAACAAGUGAUUACUAUCACAACAAUUUAAAGCCCACCUGGACCAGCCAGCCUUACACUUCCUUGUCCACCACAUGCUCUCCCAGACCAAACAAUAGGCCCCACCCUAUUUUAAAAACUCAAAUCCCACAAAAUCUCACAGGAUUUCAUAUUUAGACCUAGAGUGGUGGGCAGUAUGAAAAUAAUACAAAAGGAGACAUGACCUCAAUUAUUAAAAAUAUCCGUUUUGCCCCAAAAUAACCAGGAUUACUAUGGGCACAAAACAAUGCCCUUAUUUUUCAGUAAACAGAUUUAAGAUCAAAGUAAUAUUGAAAAACUUACCAUAAAAGUGCUCAGCGGAGAAUUCAAUUCAGAAGCCGGUUGCAAACAAGCCAGCAGCAAAGUGGCUGUUUGGUUGGGACAAACCACUACUUGUACACACUACACUCCUUGUAGAGACUUAUAGAUGUUUUUGUGUCAACACAUUAUGCACAGUCAGUAAUAAUAUUUACAGACAAGUAAGAAAAUGUACAGAAAGGAAUCACAACCCACUGUUCUCAACAUGUAGUGCUUAAUUUGAAACAUGAUUAACCCCCACCUAGUAAUAAAAUGUUCUGACCCAGAGCUCAAGGAGGGGGAGGGAAGAAGGAAUGAGAGGGGGUAAAGAGGGGAAAGUUGGGAGGAGCGGGUGGGUGGGGGGAGGCUUGGGAGACAGUAAGGGGAGAUGAGGAGGUGAGGAGGGGUGCAACAAACUGCCCAGAUUGCACACGAUGGUAAUUCAACGUUUAAAUAUACUCAGAAUGGUUGAUUUUUGGUUGAGGUCAACAACUGACAGUGGAUCAACCAUAAAACAACCAUCCAAUUCUAGCCAAGUAACCAAUGUUGGAACUGUGUCAUUGAAUCAAUGUUGUUUUGUGGUUGAAAAAUAAUGAAUGAAAUGCCAAUGUCUGAUCAACGUCCGAUCAAUGUUGAAUCAAUGUACAGUGAUCCCUCGCUAUAACGUGGUUCACCUUUCGCGGUCUCGGUGCUUCACGGAAUUUUUUGUUGUGCAGUUUUUUUUCCACAGUGCAUUGUGUUCUGCGUCCUGAUUGGCUAAACAGUCUCUGCGGUUCUUCUCUACCUGUAAUGUUACGGUAUUUAAAUAUAAGUAAUACAGCUUGGCCAUUCAGGAGAUGAAAACUGAAACUUUGAAUGCCUGCUGGAAAAAACUGGCCAUAAUCAGCGCAAAACCUGACCGAAGGCUCGCUUGACGAGAUCCAUCGCUUUGCCGUA